GUUUUAAUAGUUUAUAUAAAAUAUUGAUUUUGUAAAUCAAUGAAGAUAAAAAUCUUAAAACU
rnacentral:tRNA from 1 species